GGGUGAGUAACACGUGAGCAACCUGCCCUCCACUUCGGGAUAAGCCCUGGAAACGGGGUCUAAUACCGGAUACGAGCACUCGACGCAUGUCGGGUGUUGGAAAGUUUUUCGGUGGGGGAUGGGCUCGCGGCCUAUCAGCUUGUUGGUGGGGUAAUGGCCUACCAAGGCGUCGACGGGUAGCCGGCCUGAGAGGGCGACCGGCCACACUGGGACUGAGACACGGCCCAGACUCCUACGGGAGGCAGCAGUGGGGAAUAUUGCACAAUGGGCGAAAGCCUGAUGCAGCGACGCCGCGUGAGGGAUGACGGCCUUCGGGUUGUAAACCUCUUUCAGCAGGGAAGAAGGCCUUCGGGUGGACGGUACCUGCAGAAGAAGCGCCGGCUAACUACGUGCCAGCAGCCGCGGUAAUACGUAGGGCGCAAGCGUUGUCCGGAAUUAUUGGGCGUAAAGAGCUCGUAGGCGGUUUGUCGCGUCUGGUGUGAAAACCUCAGGCUCAACCUGGGGCGUGCAUCGGGUACGGGCAGACUAGAGUGCGGUAGGGGAGACUGGAAUUCCUGGUGUAGCGGUGGAAUGCGCAGAUAUCAGGAGGAACACCGAUGGCGAAGGCAGGUCUCUGGGCCGCAACUGACGCUGAGGAGCGAAAGCAUGGGGAGCGAACAGGAUUAGAUACCCUGGUAGUCCAUGCCGUAAACGUUGGGCACUAGGUGUGGGGCUCAUUCCACGAGUUCCGUGCCGCAGCUAACGCAUUAAGUGCCCCGCCUGGGGAGUACGGCCGCAAGGCUAAAACUCAAAGGAAUUGACGGGGGCCCGCACAAGCGGCGGAGCAUGCGGAUUAAUUCGAUGCAACGCGAAGAACCUUACCAAGGCUUGACAUGCACCGGACGCUGCCAGAGAUGGUGGUUCCGCAAGGUCGGUGCACAGGUGGUGCAUGGUUGUCGUCAGCUCGUGUCGUGAGAUGUUGGGUUAAGUCCCGCAACGAGCGCAACCCUUGUCCUAUGUUGC
rnacentral:rRNA from 1 species